rnacentral:rRNA from 1 species
CAAUAGCGUAUAUUAAAGUUGUUGCGGUUAAAAAGCUCGUAGUUGGAUUUCUGCCGAGGACGACCGGUCCGCCCUCUGGGUGAGUAUCUGGCUUGGCCUGGGCAUCUUCUUGGAGAACGUAGCUGCACUUGACUGUGUGGUGCGGUAUCCAGGACUUUACUUGAGGAAAUUAGAGUGUUUCAAGCAGGCAUGCGCCUUGAAUAUAUUAGCAUGGAAUAAUGGAAUAGGACGCUGGUUCUAUUUUGUUGGUUUUGAGAACCAGAGUAAUGAUUAAUAGGGACAGUUGGGGGCAUUCAUAUUUCAUUGUCAGAGGUGAAAUUCUUGGAUUAACGGAAGAUGAACUACUGCGAAAGCAUCUGCCAAGGAUGUUUUCAUUGAUCAAGAACGAAAGUUAGGGGAUCGAAGACGAUUAGAU